AGUGAACGCUGGCGGUAGGCCUAACACAUGCAAGUCGAACGGCAGCACAGGAGAGCUUGCUCUCUGGGUGGCGAGUGGCGGACGGGUGAGGAAUACAUCGGAAUCUACUCUGUCGUGGGGGAUAACGUAGGGAAACUUACGCUAAUACCGCAUACGACCUACGGGUGAAAGCAGGGGAUCUUCGGACCUUGCGCGAUUGAAUGAGACGAUGUCGUAUUAGCUAGUUGGCGGGGUAAAGGCCCACCAAGGCGACGAUCCGUAGCUGGUCUGAGAGGAUGAUCAGCCACACUGGAACUGAGACACGGUCCAGACUCCUACGGGAGGCAGCAGUGGGGAAUAUUGGACAAUGGGCGCAAGCCUGAUCCAGCCAUACCGCGUAGGUGAAGAAGGCCUUCGGGUUGUAAAGCCCUUUUGUUGGGAAAGAAAUCCAGCUGGCUAAUACUCGGUUGGGAUGACGGUACCCAAAGAAUAAGCACCGGCUAACUUCGUGCCAGCAGCCGCGGUAA
rnacentral:rRNA from 1 species